rnacentral:tRNA from 1 species
GGUUUCUUAGCUCAAUUGGUAGAGCCGUGAGGGCGAGCCUCACAAGGUUAUAGGUUCGAGUCCUAUAGGGACCA